AGAGUUUGAUCCUGGCUCAGAGUGAACGCUGGCGGUAGGCCUAACACAUGCAAGUCGAACGGCAGCACAGGAGAGCUUGCUCUCUGGGUGGCGAGUGGCGGACGGGUGAGGAAUACAUCGGAAUCUACUCUGUCGUGGGGGAUAACGUAGGGAAACUUACGCUAAUACCGCAUACGACCUACGGGUGAAAGCAGGGGACCUUCGGGCCUUGCGCGAUUGAAUGAGCCGAUGUCGGAUUAGCUAGUUGGCGGGGUAAAGGCCCACCAAGGCGACGAUCCGUAGCUGGUCUGAGAGGAUGAUCAGCCACACUGGAACUGAGACACGGUCCAGACUCCUACGGGAGGCAGCAGUGGGGAAUAUUGGACAAUGGGCGCAAGCCUGAUCCGGCCAUACCGCGUGGGUGAAGAAGGCCUUCGGGUUGUAAAGCCCUUUUGUUGGGAAAGAAAUCCAGCUGGCUAAUACCCGGUUGGGAUGACGGUACCCAAAGAAUAAGCACCGGCUAACUUCGUG
rnacentral:rRNA from 1 species